GUCUCAGGCCGUAUCAGCCUGAAGGCGCCCGAUCUCGUCUGAUCUCGGAAGCUAAGCAGGGUCGGGCCUGGUUAGGAUCUUGGAUGGGAGACCACCUGGGAAUCCCGGGUGCUCGAGUCU
rnacentral:rRNA from 1 species